rnacentral:rRNA from 1 species
UCUUGGUCAAUUUAGAGGAAGUAAAAGUCGUAACAAGGUUUCCGUAGGUGAACCUGCGGAAGGAUCAUUAACGAAUAUCGUGCAAGGUUGAAGCUGGCCUCUCGGGGCAUGUGCUCGCCUUGUUCAUAUCCAUCUCACACCUGUGCACACUCGCGUGGGUCGGUCGGGUUCUUUUGACCCCUUCCGAGCCGCGUCUUCUCACAAACUCUUCGUAUGUCUUUAGAAUGGUAUCAAUGCUAUAAAACGCAUCUUAUACAACUUUCAACAAUGGAUCUCUCGGUUCUCGCAUCGAUGAAGAACGCAGCGAAAUGCGAUAAGUAAUGUGAAUUGCAGAAUUCAGUGAAUCAUCGAAUCUUUGAACGCACCUUGCGCCCUUUGGUAUUCCGAAGGGCACGCCUGUUUGAGUGUCGUGAAAUUCUCAACCCUGUGCUUUUCUUGUGAAAGCGCGUGGGCUUGGACUUGGAGGCUUUGCUGGUCCUCGCGGAUCGGCUCCUCUCAAAUGCAUUAGCGAGACCCUUGUGGUGCCGCCCCCGGUGUGAUAAUUGUCUACGCCGUGGUGGUACGCCACGAUUGUGGGGGACCUGCUUCCAACCGUCGAAAGACAAACUUUAUCGAAACUUGACCUCAAAUCAGGCGGGACUACCCGCUGAACUUAAGCAUAUCAAUAAGCGGAGGA